CACAGAAGCUGGGCCAGAGGUAGGUAGGUAGGCAGGUAGGCAACAGGCCGAGAAACCCACACUGCCAGGAGUAAUAAUCACUCAGGAAUAAGAGUAUUGCAGGAGGUCAUAUGCUUCAGGAGUAAUAAUAUAAGCUCUUUGGGUGUUCGUUCACACUGCCUUUGCCUGAAACCAAUUUCCCCUGCAACUGGGAUUCCAAAGUUUCCUGGGGAGCCGGAUUAAAACCACUCCAGUUGUACUUCGGUUUAGUUUAGCGGGGAGGAACGGGAGAAGAAUACGGAAAAGGAGCAAAUCCGUUGCAGAGCCGGAGUGCUGUUGUAUCUCUUCCAUUUCCGAUGGAAUCGAUUAGGAGCAACCCAAAGGACAUGGUACAUACAGCUCUGUGGAUCAAACCCAUUUAAAAACAGAUGUUACAUAUUUAUGUGUUCCUCCUCUUUUCUCUCUCUCUCUCUCUCUCUCUGCGGUAAAUUAUCCUAUUUUAUCAUGUUUGCCUUGAGGAUUUUAAAGCCGAAAAUAAAUCUCUCUCUCAGCACCUUUAUUGUUAUU